rnacentral:rRNA from 1 species
GAUGAACGCUGGCGGCGUGCCUAAUACAUGCAAGUCGAGCGAACGGACGAGUAGCUUGCUUCUCUGAUGUUAGCGGCGGACGGGUGAGUAACACGUGGAUAACCUACCUAUAAGACUGGGAUAACUUCGGGAAACCGGCGCUAAUACCGGAUAAUAUUUUGCUCCGCAUGGUUCAAAAGUGAAAGACGGUCUUGCUGUCACUUAUAGAUGGAUCCGCGCUGCAUUAGCUAGUUGGUAAGGUAACGGCUUACCAAGGCAACGAUGCAUAGCCGACCUGAGAGGGUGAUCGGCCACACUGGAACUGAGACACGGUCCAGACUCCUACGGGAGGCAGCAGUAGGGAAUCUUCCGCAAUGGGCGAAAGCCUGACGGAGCAACGCCGCGUGAGUGAUGAAGGUCUUCGGAUCGUAAAGCUCUGUUAUUAGGGAAGAACAGAUGUGGAAGUAACUGUGCACAUCUUGACGGUACCUAAUGAGAAAGCCACGGCUAACUACGUG